UACGAAGGGGGCUAGCGUUGCUCGGAAUCACUGGGCGUAAAGCGCACGUAGGCGGAUUGCUAAGUCAGGGGUGAAAUCCUGGAGCUCAACUCCAGAACUGCCUUUGAUACUGGCGAUCUCGAGUCCGGGAGAGGUGAGUGGAACUGCGAGUGUAGAGGUGAAAUUCGUAGAUAUUCGCAAGAACACCAGUGGCGAAGGCGGCUCACUGGCCCGGUACUGACGCUGAGGUGCGAAAGCGUGGGGAGCGAUCCGG
rnacentral:rRNA from 1 species